UUACUCAGGCUUCUCUUCAUUUUUCGCAUAAAUCUUUCGCCUUUUACUAAAGAUUUCCGUGGAGAGGAGCAUACAAUGAGUAGGCUUGCACGUAAUUGACAAAAAUCAAUUC